rnacentral:rRNA from 1 species
CCUACGGGUGGCAGCAGUGGGGAAUAUUGGGCAAUGGGCGCAAGCAAGAAACAGCAACGCCGCGUGAAGGAAGAAGGCUUUCGGGUUGUAAACUUCUUUUGUCAGGGAAGAGUAGAAGACGGUACCUGACGAAUAAGCCACGGCUAACUACGUGUCAGCAGCCGCGGUAAUACGUAGGUGGCAAGCGUUGUCCGGAUUUACUGGGUGUAAAGGGCGUGUAGCCGGGUUGACAAGUCAGAUGUGAAAUCCUGCGGCUUAACCGCAGAACUGCAUUUGAAACUGUUGAUCUUGAGUACUGGAGAGGCAGACGGAAUUCCUAGUGUAGCGGUGAAAUGCGUAGAUAUUAGGAGGAACACCAGUGGCGAAGGCGGUCUGCUGGACAGCAACUGACGGUGAGGCGCGAAAGCGUGGGGAGCAAACAGGAUUAGAUACCCCUGUAGUC